UACAGAGGUCUCAAGCGUUGUUCGGAUUCAUUGGGCGUAAAGGGUGUGUAGGUGGCGCCGUAAGUCGGGUGUGAAAUUUCGGAGCUUAACUCCGAAAUUGCACUGGAUACUGCUCUGCUAGAGGGCUGGAGAGGAGAUCGGAAUUCACGGUGUAGCAGUGAAAUGCGUAGAUAUCGUGAGGAAGACCAGUGGCGAAAGGCGGAGUCUCUGGACAGCUCCUGACGCUGAGGCGCGAAGGCUAGGGGAGCAAACGGG
rnacentral:rRNA from 1 species